AAUGUGAAUCACACAUUCAAAAAACUGUGAAAGAAGCCCACUUAGUAAGCCUUGGCCUGAGCAUUGCUUUCAGUGGAUGGAAAGAAAGGUUGAGAAGCAACCACGACGAGAAGUUGAACCUUUUAUACGUGAGUGGACGAGAUGGCAUGCAGAGAUAUUCAUCUGCUUGUUCUCGCUUAAAUGGGAAAAACGAGCAAGAGGAAAGGAGAUAAGUAGAUGAUGAUGGAGAGGGAGAAGAAUAUACAAAAGGAGAUUAACUUGGUUCGACCACACAAAGCCUACAUCCGCAGGAAGAAAAUUUUUUGAAGAAAAAUCACAGAUGAGUACAGUAUAUGGUUUCUGUUUUAGCCUCUCUAUUUAAAAAAAAAAAAAUUACUGAGAGCUCUCUUUUAUAGCUAAGGGAGAUCAGUUUAAAUUAGUCAGGAAUAACAUAAAACUGAUAUAAAAAAAUAAAGAGUCGUUGGAUUUAGAUCUUCAAAUCUCCAACCUAAAUCCAACACUAUGAUUUCUUCAAGUAUCUUCCGAUUCUUACUGACUUCAUCCUUUUUCAGGUAAAUAGAAGCCUAUAAGCUCGAAGUACUUGUGGAGUUUAAGCUUCGACACUGGCUUGGUGAGCAUGUCGGCUGGAUUCUCAAAGUCAUCGUUUCUGGGAGCUUUGAUGGAUUCAAAUGGGCCUUGAGAGCCUUUUGCUGACCAAGCAAGCCUCUGAUUUUGUCUUCCACAAGGCAAAUUCACCCUUACCAUUGAACUUUUCAAUCUCCACUUUAGCUACUGCCAUCUCGAGAUAUAUCACAGAAGCUUCAGCUGAAAGAUUCCCAUGCAAAUUGACUAAAUUUGCUAGAAAUUCUAGAGGUUGAAGAAGUCUUCAACCUCGGUAAACCAGUGUCCUUUCCAUUUUUUCCUAAUUUAAGCUUGUUUUGAGUCCCACAACUCAAUCUAAGGCUCCAAGAGAAUGGUAAGGAAGACCUUGUGGUGGUUUACAGCCAAAGGAAAAGGAGAUUGCAGUUGAAGAUCAAUAUUCAAGAGAUUCUUCAAAGGUAUGUGUUGAAACACUCUUAAUUCUCUAUGAACAUGCUUAUUUUGAUGUCAAAAUUAAGGAAUUAGAAUGUUUAAUAAUCCUACUUUCUUCCGUUGCAUGUUUCUAUAUUCCAACAAAUCACACGUCCAAGAAAGUGCAGAAGAAACCCACUUAGUAAGCCUUGGCCUGAGCAUUGCUUUUAGUAGGUGGAAAGAAAGGCUAAGAAGUAGCCACGACGAGAAGCUAAGCCUUUGACACGUGGGUGAAUGAGAUGGCAUGCAGAGAUCUUCAUUUGCUUGUUUUCACUCGAAUAGGAAAAAUGAGCAAGAGGAAAUGAGAGAAGUAGAUGAUCAUCGAAAGGAAGAAAAAGAUACACAGGGGAGUUUACAUGGUUCGGCCACACAAAGCCUACAUCCACGGGAAGAAUGUUUCUCGAAAAAAAAAUCACAAUAAGUACACUAUAUGAUUUCUGUUUUAGCCUCUCUAUUUGAAAAAAAUACUGAGAGCUCUCUUUUAAUAUCUAAGAGAGAUCAGUUUACAUGUAGCUAGGAAUAACAUAAAACUGAUAUUUAAAAAAAAAAAAAAAAAAAAAGGAGCCGUUGGAUUUAGAUCUUUUAUAUAUAUAUAUAUAUAUAUAUAUAUAUUAUUUUAUAUAAUAUUAAAUGUUAGGCAAUACAGUACUUUUUUUAUAUCAAAUCCUAUUGAUUUGAAAUUAGGAAAUUUUUCGUUUUGUGAAUCUCUAAUUCACAAAUACUAUCCAAAAAAUAAAUUUCAAUUUCAAUCCAAGGAGAAGAAUAUUAUAUAUAGAUUACUACCUUGAUGAUCUUAGAGCAUGAAAAGAGAACUAAUUCCUCACUCAAGAUUUGGACAUACUCCACAGCGAUGUUUGAUUAAUUUGGCUUGAAUGUUCGAACAUCUCAUCUGGUUGUAAAUGGCAAGACCCUCAGAUGAAUAGCAAACGGUCAAGGUAUGGCGAUCAAGCAAAGAAUAAAACCUACAAAACAGAAACUAGUUAUAGGCUGAGUCACGGAGCUCGCUCUCUUUAAGACGUUUCACGGCUCUGUCCAAGUGUGCAAGCAAGUCAGGAAUACUGUCACGCCAUCUCAGGAUAAAACAACUUAAAAGAAAACACAAUAAAAAAUGCAUCGUUACCAAUCGGAACACACACCCUUUCUAACUCACUGCUCGAAAAACAAAGAAUGGAAGAGUAGGAGAGGAGAGAAGAACGUUCGAAUUGAAGCUGUGUUCUGUAAAUGACCUACUGAAGGUCGUGACUUUUAUAGGCCUUCAGCGUGGAACUGUCGAGUGAGAAAGAGGCGGAGAACCUCAGUGAGGGGCCGUGCGGAAGAACACGCCUCGUCUCCUUCCUUUUCUCUUUUUUCCCGAUUUUAAAACACAAUAAUAAAAGAUUAAAAUAAUGAAUAAAAAUAAUAAUAUUUCUUUGUAACGGUGAGACCAAAAGGAAGGUGGUGGCCACGUGUGGGAUAUCCACCGAAUCCACAUUGGUCUAUCUCUUCACUCCUUCCAAAACAUGGGUACCCCUUAGAGCAACACCGUGGAGAGGGAUGCAGCACUGUAAGAACUUUGCUGCCACAUGAAAUUAGUACAACAUCACAGCGUUGUAAAAUGGCGUUGCACCGCCAGUGUGGCUUUAUAGAAAGUUUUGUGUUUUGGAAAUGUUUUGUCUAUUUACUUUAAAGAGUGUUUUGUUACAUGAAAAAAAAUGUGCGAGAGUGGGGGAUUUUCUUGGAGGCUGUUCGUUGAUUUCGAGGUGAAAAUCAAGGAAUUCCCGAUUAUUUCCAUCGACGAAAUUCACGACUAUAUUAGUGUUUCCCUA